AUCAUCAUCUCAGCCACUGUGAGAGAACAGAACCUUCAACCUGUGGAGACCAGAACCGAGGAGACAGGAAGCCGAUACCACAUAACACUUGUGCUCCCAAGGACCCAGACAAAGGCAUGCCUUUGGGAAGCCACCAUUCCCCAUGACAGUGGGACGGCCCUGUGAGUCUGGGACCUGGAGCUGAGUGUCCCACUUAGGAGACAAAGACCCGGACAAGAUUAUCAGGUACUGUGUGCACAGGGUGGUGUGCACAAUCCUCACAGGGGAGAGAGGAGGACGCCAGCACACAGCUGUACUUCCAGGUGGUUGCCCAGAGCCCUGGUCCCCAGCGGACAUCACCUCGAAUGCAUGCAAGGUUCUGUCGAGUGGACUUGGCAUGCUGAUGGCUUCCCUCAUUUGCUUCUCAGGUGACUUCCACUUCUCCUU